rnacentral:rRNA from 1 species
UACGUAGGGGGCAAGCGUUGUCCGGAUUCAUUGGGCGUAAAGAGCUCGUAGGCGGUUCAGCAAGUCGGGUGUGAAACCUCCAGGCUCAACCUGGAGACGCCACCCGAUACUGCUGUGACUUGAGUCCGGUAGGGGACCACGGGAAUUCCUGGUGUAGCGGUGAAAUGACGCAGAUAUCAGGAGGAACACCGGUGGCGAAGGCGGUUCUCUGGGCCUUACCUGACGCUGAGGAGCGAAAGCGUGGGGAGCGAACAGG